rnacentral:rRNA from 1 species
AAAAGGAAUGGCGACAGCUUACCAUGCAAGUCGAACGAUGAACCCGAAGCUUGCUUUGGGGGAUUAGUGGCGAACGGGUGAGUAACACGUGAGCAACCUGCCCCUGACUCUGGGAUAAGCGCUGGAAACGGCGUCUAAUACUGGAUACGAACAAGAAUCGCAUGGUUACUUGUUGGAAAGAUUUUUUGGUUGGGGAUGGGCUCGCGGCCUAUCAGCUUGUUGGUGAGGUAAUGGCUCACCAAGGCGUCGACGGGUAGCCGGCCUGAGAGGGUGACCGGCCACACUGGGACUGAGACACGGCCCAGACUCCUACGGGAGGCAGCAGUGGGGAAUAUUGCACAAUGGGCGGAAGCCUGAUGCAGCAACGCCGCGUGAGGGAUGACGGCCUUCGGGUUGUAAACCUCUUUUAGCAGGGAAGAAGCGAAAGUGACGGUACUUGCAGAAAAAGCGCCGGCUAACUACGUGCCAGCAGCCGCGGUAAUACGUAGGGCGCAAGCGUUAUCCGGAAUUAUUGGGCGUAAAGAGCUCGUAGGCGGUUUGUCGCGUCUGCUGUGAAAUCCCGAGGCUCAACUUCGGGUCUGCAGUGGGUACGGGCAGACUAGAGUGCGGUAGGGGAGAUUGGAAUUCCUGGUGUAGCGGUGGAAUGCGCAGAUAUCAGGAGGAACACCGAUGGCGAAGGCAGAUCUCUGGGCCGUAACUGACGCUGAGGAGCGAAAGGGUGGGGAGCAAACAGGCUUAGAUACCCUGGUAGUCCACCCCGUAAACGUUGGGAACUAGUUGUGGGGUCCAUUCCACGGAUUCCGUGACGCAGCUAACGCAUUAAGUUCCCCGCCUGGGGAGUACGGCCGCAGGCUAAAACUCAAAGGAUUUGACGGGGACCCGCACAAGCGGCGGAGCAUGCGGAUUAAUUCGAUGCAACGCGAAGAACCUUACCAAGGCUUGACAUACGCGAGAACGGGCCAGAAUUGCUCCAUCUCUUUGUAACACCUCGUGAACACGGUUGCUGCAUU